UUUGGCACAAUGAGGACUUGUAUAUAUUGAGGAUGAAUAUCCCAUGCAAGAAAUUAAGUCCUUUUCAUUCUGAGUGCCUU
rfam:Picea glauca, whole genome shotgun sequence.